rnacentral:misc_RNA from 1 species
GAUGAAGAACGCAGCGAAAUGCGAUAGGUAAUGUGAAUUGCAGAAUUCAGUGAAUCAUCGAAUCUUUGAACGCACAUUGCGCCCCUUGGUAUUCCAUGGGGCAUGCCUGUUCGAGCGUCAUCUACACCCUCAAGCUCUGCUUGGUGUUGGGCGUCUGUCCCGCCUUUGCGCGUGGACUCGCCCCAAAUUCAUUGGCAGCGGUCCUUGCCUCCUCUCGCGCAGCACAUUUGCGCUUCUCGAGGUGCGCGGGCCGCGUCCACGAAGCAACUAUUACCGUCUUUGACCUCGGAUCAGGUAGGGAUACCCGCUGAACUUAAGCAUAUCAAUAAGCGGAGGA